rnacentral:lncRNA from 1 species
ACUUCGAAGAGGACUUCCUUGGGUAGUUCAGCCGGAGCCAGUGUAGCCAACUUGGAGAGAAGAUCGGCCCUGGUAUUUUCUACUCUUAGAAUCUGUUUGAUGUCAAAGCUGCCAAAGGCAGAGAUGAUCUCUUUUACCUUUUCGAGAUACUUGGCUAUAUUGUCCUCCCGAGCUUCAUAGUUUUCGCUGAUUUGUCCCCAGGACUCUUCCAGCUUCUGACCUUGUGCGGCGUCUUUCUGAACUCCCUCGACCGUCCGAGCUUCUACAGUACCAUCGGGACUCCUC